rnacentral:rRNA from 1 species
GACGAACGCUGGCGGCAAGCUUAACACAUGCAAGUCGAACGCCGUAGCAAUACGGAGUGGCAGACGGGUGAGUAACACGUGGGAACGUGCCUUUCGGUUCGGAACAACUGAGGGAAACUUCAGCUAAAACCGGAUACGCCCUUCGGGGGAAAGUUUACGCCGAAAGAUCGGCCCGCGUCAGAUUAGGUAGUUGGCGGGGUAAUGGCCCACCAAGCCGAUGAUCUGUAGCUGUUCUGAGAGGAAGAUCAGCCACACUGGGACUGAGACACGGCCCAGACUCCUACGGGAGGCAGCAGUGGGGAAUAUUGGACAAUGGGCGCAAGCCUGAUCCAGCUAUGCCGCGUGGAUGAAGAGGGCCUUCGGGUUGUAAAGUCCUUUCGGCGGGGAAGAUAAUGACGGUACCCGCAGAAGAAGCCCUGGCUAAUUUCGUGCCAGCCGCCGCCGUAAAAC